rnacentral:tRNA from 1 species
GAGGGUGUAGCUCAAGUGGCAGAGCACAUGCCUAGCAGGCAUGAAGUCCUGGGUUCAAUCCCUGGUGCCUCCU